GACGAACGCUGGCGGCGUGCCUAAUACAUGCAAGUCGAGCGAAUCAAUGGGAGCUUGCUCCCUGAGAUUAGCGGCGGACGGGUGAGUAACACGUGGGUAACCUGCCUGUAAGACUGGGAUAACUUCGGGAAACCGGAGCUAAUACCGGAUACGUUCUUUUCUCGCAUGAGGAGAGAUGGAAAGAUGGUUCUGCUAUCACUUACAGAUGGACCCGCGGCGCAUUAGCUAGUUGGUGAGGUAACGGAUCACCAAGGCGACGAUGCGUAGCCGACCUGGAGGGGUGAUCGGCCACACUGGGACUGAGACACGGCCCAGACUCCUACGGGAGGCAGCAGUAGGGAAUCUUCCGCAAUGGACGAGAGUCUGACGGAGCAACGCCGCGUGAGCGAAGAAGGCCUCCGGGUCGUAAAGCUCUGUUGUUAGGGAAGAACAAGUACGAGAGUAACUGCUCGUACCUUGACGGUACCUAACCAGAAAGCCACGGCUAACUACGUGCCAGCAGCCGCCGUAA
rnacentral:rRNA from 1 species